rnacentral:rRNA from 1 species
UGCAAAGUCGAGCGAACUGAUUAGAAGCUUGCUUCUAUGACGUUAGCGGCGGACGGGUGAGUAACACGUGGGCAACCUGCCUGUAAGACUGGGAUAACUUCGGGAAACCGAAGCUAAUACCGGAUAGGAUCUUCUCCUUCAUGGGAGAUGAUUGAAAGAUGGUUUCGGCUAUCACUUACAGAUGGGCCCGCGGUGCAUUAGCUAGUUGGUGAGGUAACGGCUCACCAAGGCAACGAUGCAUAGCCGACCUGAGAGGGUGAUCGGCCACACUGGGACUGAGACACGGCCCAGACUCCUACGGGAGGCAGCAGUAGGGAAUCUUCCGCAAUGGACGAAAGUCUGACGGAGCAACGCCGCGUGAGUGAUGAAGGCUUUCGGGUCGUAAAACUCUGUUGUUAGGGAAGAACAAGUACGAGAGUAACUGCUCGUACCUUGACGGUACCUAACCAGAAAGCCACGGCUAACUACGUGCCAGCAGCCGCGGUAAUACGUAGGUGGCAAGCGUUAUCCGGAAUUAUUGGGCGUAAAGCGCGCGCAGGCGGUUUCUUAAGUCUGAUGUGAAAGCCCACGGCUCAACCGUGGAGGGUCAUUGGAAACUGGGGAACUUGAGUGCAGAAGAGAAAAGCGGAAUUCCACGUGUAGCGGUGAAAUGCGUAGAGAUGUGGAGGAACACCAGUGGCGAAGGCGGCUUUUUGGUCUGUAACUGACGCUGAGGCGCGAAAGCGUGGGGAGCAAACAGGAUUAGAUACCC